rnacentral:rRNA from 1 species
AUUAUGGCCGAGCUGUGGGUCGGCGGCGGUCGCUUGCGACACGACCUGUGCCACCAGUUCGGUCCUGGUCGAGCUCCCACAUUGCCUAUUCUCGGUGUAAGAGCUGGUCAUCUCUCCGACCCGUCUUGAAACACGGACCAAGGAGUUUAUCGUGUGCGCGAGUCAUUGGGCGUUGAAAACCCAAAGGCGCAAUGAAAGUGAAGUGCCACGCAAGUGGCUGAUGUGCGAUGUUGUGUUCCACGGAACACAACCGCAGCAUGGCCCCAUCCUGGCUGCUUGCAGCGGGGUGGAGGAAGAGCGUGCGCGAUGAGACCCGAAAGAUGGUGAACUAUUCCUGAGCAGGAUGAAGCCAGAGGAAACUCUGGUGGAAGUCCGAAGCGAUUCUGACGUGCAAAUCGAUCGUCUGACUUGGGUAUAGG